AGCUAAUUUCAAUUGAACAAAACACAAAAGACUCGAACCCCGCUGCCUUGAAAUGAUUUGUCCUUGAGUUAGAAAGAGAAUGCCAUUAAAAUGAAGAAGAAAGGAGCAAGAAAAGUAGUGACUCGGUCCUAACUCGGUGGAGGAAACUGAGUCGAGCAACACUUGCUUUUUGUUUGUUGUUACCUAAGGACAUCAAAGGUUUUU
rnacentral:lncRNA from 1 species